rnacentral:rRNA from 1 species
UACGUAGGUGGCGAGCGUUGUCCGGAUUUACUGGGCGUAAAGCGCGCGCAGGCGGUUCGUUAAGUCCGGUGUGAAAGCUCCCGGCUCAACUGGGAGAGGUCAUUGGAUACUGGCGGACUUGAGGGAUGCAGAGGAAGGUGGAAUUCCCGGUGUAGUGGUGAAAUGCGUAGAGAUCGGGAGGAACACCAGUGGCGAAGGCGGCCUUCUGGGCAUUUCCUGACGCUGAGGCACGAAAGCGUGGGGAGCGAACCGGG